GAAUUCAACUCCUACGGGAGGCAGCAGUGGGGAAUUUUGGGCAAUGGGCGCAAGCCUGAUCCAGCAAUGCCGCGUGCAGGAAGAAGGCCUUCGGGUUGUAAACUGCUUUUGUACGGAACGAAACGGUCUGGGUUAAUACCCUGGGCUAAUGACGGUACCGUAAGAAUAAGCACCGGCUAACUACGUGCCAGCAGCCGCGGUAAUACGUAGGGUGCAAGCGUUAAUCGGAAUUACUGGGCGUAAAGCGUGCGCAGGCGGUUUUGUAAGACAGUCGUGAAAUCCCCGGGCUCAACCUGGGAAUUGCGAUUGUGACUGAAAGGCUGGAGUGCGGCAGAGGGGGAUGGAAUUCCGCGUGUAGCAGUGAAAUGCGUAGAUAUGCGGAGGAACACCGGUGGCGAAGGCAAUCCCCUGGGCCUGCACUGACGCUCAUGCACGAAAGCGUGGGGAGCAAACAGGAUUAGAAACCCUAGUAGUCCAGGCGUU
rnacentral:rRNA from 1 species